rnacentral:rRNA from 1 species
GACGAACGCUGGCGGCGUGCUUAACACAUGCAAGUCGAACGGAAAGGCCCUGCUUUUGUGGGGUGCUCGAGUGGCGAACGGGUGAGUAACACGUGAGUAACCUGCCCUUGACUUUGGGAUAACUUCAGGAAACUGGGGCUAAUACCGGAUAGGAGCUCCUGCUGCAUGGUGGGGGUUGGAAAGUUUCGGCGGUUGGGGAUGGACUCGCGGCUUAUCAGCUUGUUGGUGGGGUAGUGGCUUACCAAGGCUUUGACGGGUAGCCGGCCUGAGAGGGUGACCGGGCACAUUGGGACUGAGAUACGGCCCAGACUCAUACGGGAGGCAGCAGUGGGAAAUAUUGCACAAUGGGCGGAAGCCGGAUGCAGCAACGCCGCGUGCGGGAGGACGGCCUUCGGGUUGGAAACCGCUUUCGCCUGUGACGAAGCGUGAGUGACGGUAAUGGGUAAAGAAGCACCGGCUAACUACGUG